UGAGGAUGGCGGACGGGUGAGUAACGCGUAAGGAACUUGCCUCUUGGUCUGGGACAACUGUUGGAAACGACAGCUAAUACCGGAUAUUAUGAGAUUCUCGCAUGGGAAACUUAUGAAAGCUAUAUGCGCCAAGAGAGAGCCUUGCGUUCCAUUAGCUAGUUGGUGGGGUAACGGCCCACCAAGGCGACGAUGGAUAGCCGGCCUGAGAGGGUGAACGGCCACAAGGGGACUGAGACACGGCCCUUACUCCUACGGGAGGCAGCAGUGGGGAAUAUUGGACAAUGGGCCACAAGCCUGAUCCAGCAAUUCUGUGUGCACGAUGAAGGUCUUCGGAUUGUAAAGUGCUUUCAGUUGGGAAGAAGAAAGUGACGGUACCAACAGAAGAAGUGACGGCUAAAUACGUGCCAGCAGCCGCGGUAAUACGUAUGUCGCAAGCGUUAUCCGGAUUUAUUGGGCGUAAAGCGCGUCUAGGCGGAAAAAUAAGUCUGAUGUUAAAAUGCGGGGCUCAACUCCGUAUUGCGUUGGAAACUGUUUUUCUAGAGUACUGGAGAGGUGGGCGGAACUACAAGUGUAGAGGUGAAAUUCGUAGAUAUUUGUAGGAAUGCCGAUGGAGAAGUCAGCUCACUGGACAGAUACUGACGCUAAAGCGCGAAAGCGUGGGGAGCAAACAGGAUUAGAUACCCUGGUAGUCCACGCCGUAAACGAUGAUCACU
rnacentral:rRNA from 1 species